UUCAGUCAAAAAUUUGAAUGCUACCUCACCUUCUCCAAAUGCCUCACCAUGCUCAACAACUUCCCAAGAAGCCCUUUCCGAACUAACCCAUCUUUGGAGUCCAUGCACCGCUCAUUAGACUUUGCCUCAACGCCUUCUUUGUAAUAAUCUUCAUAGGUUCUAAACUACUCCAAUGAUAACUUCUCAAUGUGCUCUUUGUCUAUCAACUUGGCCGCCUUGGCAACAUUAUCAAGUCCCGGGAUGC
rnacentral:lncRNA from 1 species